rnacentral:rRNA from 1 species
CUGGUUGAUCCUGCCAGUAGUCAUACGCUCGUAUCAAAGAUUAAGCCAUGCAUGUGUAAGUAUAAGUGACUUUAUACUGUGAAACUGCGAACGGCUCAUCAUAUCAGUUAUAGUUUAUUUGAUAAAUAUCUUAGUACUUGGAUAACCGUAGUAAUUGUAGAGCUAAUACAUGCGUCAAAUCCCGACUGUACGGAAGGGAUGUAUUUAUUAGAUAUCAAUCAACCCGCUUCGGCGGUGUGAGGUGAGUCAUAAUAACUUUGCGAAUCGCAGCGUCUUCGGACGGCGAUGAAUCAUUCAAGUUUCUGCCCUAUCAGCUUUCGAUGGUAGUGUAUUGGACUACCAUGGCGGUGACGGGUAAAGGAGAAUUAGGGUUCGAUUCAGGAGAGGGAGCAUGAGAGAUGGCCACCCCAUCCAAGGAAGGCAGCAGGCGAGUAAAUUACCCAAUCCCA